CACGUAGGCACCAAGCGUUGUCCGGAUUUAUUGGGCGUAAAGCGCUCGUAGGCGGUUCAUUAAGUCGGGUGUGAAAACUCAGGGCUCAACCCUGAGCUGCCACCCGAUACUGCUGUGACUUGAGUCUGGUAGGGGAGUGGGGAAUUCCUGGUGUAGCGGUGAAAUGCGCAGAUAUCAGGAGGAACACCGGUGGUGAAGGCGGGUCUCUGGGCAGUAACUGACGCUGAGGAGCGAAAGCGUGGGGAGCGAACAGG
rnacentral:rRNA from 1 species